rnacentral:rRNA from 1 species
GAUGAACGCUGGCGGCGUGCCUAAUACAUGCAAGUCGAGCGAACGGACGAGAAGCUUGCUUCUCUGAUGUUAGCGGCGGACGGGUGAGUAACACGUGGAUAACCUACCUAUAAGACUGGGAUAACUUCGGGAAACCGGAGCUAAUACCGGAUAAUAUUUUGAACCGCAUGGUUCAAAAGUAAAAGACGGUCUUGCUGUCACUUAUAGAUGGAUCCGCGCUGCAUUAGCUAGUUGGUAAGGUAACGGCUUACCAAGGCAACGAUGCAUAGCCGACCUGAGAGGGUGAUCAGCCACACUGGAACUGAGACACGGUCCAGACUCCUACGGGAGGCAGCAGUAGGGAUUCUUCCGCAAUGGGCGAAAGCCUGACGGAGCAACGCCGCGUGAGUGAUGAAGGUCUUCGGAUCGUAAAACUCUGUUAUUAGGGAAGAACAUAUGUGUAAGUAACUGUGCACAUCUUGACGGUACCUAAUCAGAAAGCCACGGCUAACUACGUG